AAUCAACGCUGGCGGCGUGCCUAACACAUGCAAGUCGAACGCGAAAGGGGCUUCGGCUCUGAGUAGAGUGGCGAACGGGUGAGUAACGCGUGGGUGAUCGUACCUUCGAGUGGGGGAUAACGUUCCGAAAGGGACGCUAAUACCGCAUGACGUUCUGGGUUUAAAGACCUGGAAACCAAAGACCGGGGACCGCAAGGCCUGGCGCUCAAAGAGGAGCCCGCGUCCGAUUAGCUAGUUGGCGGGUAACGCCCACCAAGGCGACGAUCGGUAGCCGGCCUGAGAGGGCGGACGGCCACACUGGGACUGAGACACGGCCCAGAUUCCUACGGGAGGCAGCAGUGGGAAUUGUUCACAAUGGGCGCAAGCCUGAUG
rnacentral:rRNA from 1 species